GGAUCCGUAACUUCGGAAUAAGGAUUGGCUCUGAGGACCGGGGCGUGUCGGGUUUGGACGGGAAGCGGAUGCGGCCGGUGCCGGGUCUGGUCGAUGUUCGUGCGUUAUGUUCG
rnacentral:pre_miRNA from 1 species